rnacentral:rRNA from 1 species
UACGUAGGCAGCGAGCGUUGUUCGGAGUUACUGGGUCGGUAAAGGGUGUGUAGGCGGUUGCUUAAGUUUGGAUGUGAAAGUCUCCCCGGCUCAACCGGGAGGGUGCGCCGAAUACUGAGUGACUAGAGUGCGGGAGAGGAAAGUGGAAUUCCUGGUGUAGCGGUGAAAUGCGUAGAUAUCAGGAGGAACACCGGUGGUGUAGACGGCUUUCUGGACCGUAACUGACGCUGAGACACGAAAGCGUGGGUAGCAAACAGG